rnacentral:rRNA from 1 species
UACGAAGGGUGCAAACGUUGCUCGGAAUUACUGGGCGUAAAGCGUGCGCAGGCGGCCUCGCAAGUCAGGCGUGAAAUCCCCGGGCUUAACCUGGGAAUGGCGUCUGAAACUACGGAGCUGGAGUGUGGCAGAGGGAGGUAGAAUUCCACGUGUAGCGGUGAAAUGCGUAGAUAUGUGGAGGAAUACCGAUGGCGAAGGCAGCCUCCUGGGCCAACACUGACGCUCAUGCACGAAAGCGUGGGGAGCAAACAGG